rnacentral:tRNA from 1 species
GCCUUCGUGGUGUAGUGGUUCUGCACUCUGGGCCAGUAUUCCAGAGGUCCGUGGUUCGAUUCCCGGCGAAGGCG